UGUGGUGGCGAUAGCGAGAAGGAUACACCUGUAACCAUGCCGAACACAGAAGUUAAGCUUCUUAGCGCCGAUUGUAGUGAGGGGUUGCC
rnacentral:rRNA from 1 species